rnacentral:tRNA from 1 species
GGGCUAUAGCUCAGCUGGCUAGAGCGUUUGACUGGCAGUCAAGAGGUCGUCGGUUCGACUCCGACUAGCUCC